GGGCCGGUAGCUCAGUACGGCUGGAGCGUUCGGCUGAUAACCGAAAGGUCGAGAGUUCAAAUCUCUCCCGGCCCACCA
rnacentral:tRNA from 1 species